AUCUUUGUAGUUGAACUACAACAAUAGCCUUUCACGCUUUAAGUUUGGGUGAAAACCCCGACCAAGAUU
rnacentral:tRNA from 1 species